rnacentral:rRNA from 1 species
UUCGGGCGCCGGCGAGUGGCGAACGGGUGAGUAACACGUGGAGACCUAUCCAUUGGUGGGGGACAACAGCUGGAAACGGCUGCUAAUACCGCAUAAUCCCUACGGGGGAAAGAUUUAUCGCCAUAGGAGGGUUCCGCGUCGGAUUAGCUAGUUGGUGGGGUAACGGCCUACCAAGGCAACGAUCCGUAGCUGGUCUUAGAGGAUGAUCAGCCACACUGGGACUGAGACACGGCCCAGGCUCCUACGGGAGGCAGCAGUGGGGAAUAUUGCGCAAUGGAGGAAACUCUGACGCAGCGAUGCCGCGUGGGUGAAGAAGGCCUUAGGGUUGUAAAGCCCUUUCAGUGGGAACGAUGGUGACGGUACCCACAGAAGAAGCCCCGGCUAACUCCGUGCCAGCAGCCGCGGUAAUACGGAGGGGGCGAGCGUUGUUCGGAAUUAUUGGGCGUAAAGCGCGCGUAGGCGGUUUAUUAAG